rnacentral:rRNA from 1 species
GAUGAACGCUGACAGAAUGCUUAACACAUGCAAGUCUUUGGCGAAGCUGUGCUUGCACAGCCUAGCCAAGGCGGACGGGUGAGUAACGCGUAAGGAACUUGCCCUGCAGUCAGGGAUAACAGACGGAAACGACUGAUAAGACCUGGUAAAGUCAGGCGGAGCCAUGUGCAGCCUGAUGGAAAGAGUUGCUGCAUGGGAGCCUUGCGUCCUAUUAGCUUGUUGGUGGGGUAACGGCCCACCAAGGCGAUGAUAGGUAGCCGGCCUGAGGGGGUGGACGGCCACAAGGGGACUGAGAUACGGCCGUUACUCCUACGGGGGGCAGCAGUGGGGAAUAUUGGACAAUGGGGGCAACCCUGAUCCAGCAAUUCUGUGUGGAGGAUGAAGGUUUUCGGAUUGUAAAGUGCUUUCAGCAGGGAGGAAAAAAAUGACGGUACCUGCAGAAGAAGCGACGGCUAAAUACGUG